CGGUUAGAAAGCUCGUAGUUGGACUUCUGUCGGAGCCAAUUGGUCAUCGCUAUGCGACUGUAUCUGGUUCGGUUUCGGCAUCUUCGUGGAGGGCGCGGUUGCGCUUGAAUGCGUGGCGCGGCAUCGACGACUUUUACUUUGAGGAAAUUAGAGUGUUUACGGCAGGCAAUCGCCUUGGAUAUGUUAGCAUGGAAUAAUACUGUAGGGCUUCGGUUCUGUUUUGUUGGUUUUCUGGGCUGAGGAAAUGGUUAAUAGGGAUAACCGGGGGCACUUGUAUUAACGCGUCAGAGGUGGAAUUCUUGGAUUGCGUUACGGCAAACGGCGGCGAAAGCAUUUGCCAAGAAUGUUUUCAUUGGUCAAGAACGAAAGUAUGGGGAUCGAAGAUGAUUAGAUACCGUCGUAGUCCAUACCAUAAACUAUGCCGUCUGGAGAUAGGGGGUCGUUUUUUCACGUGACGCCUUCUGCAUCUUAUGAAAAAUCAAAGUCUUUGGGUUCCGGGGGGAGUAUGGUCGCAAGGCUGAAACUUAAAGGAAUUGACGGAAGG
rnacentral:rRNA from 1 species